rnacentral:misc_RNA from 1 species
GCAGAAUGAUGGUGGGUGUUGGUGAGGCAUCUUUUAUAAGCCUUGCUGCUCCAUUCAUUGAUGACAAUGCCCCAGUUGAUCAGAAAACAGCAUGGCUAGGAAUAUUUUACAUGUGUAUACCAACUGGGAUUGCUGUUGGUUAUGUAUAUGGUGGAUUGGUUGGAAGUCUUCUUAAUUGGCGUUGGGCAUUCGGGAUAGAGGCAUUGCUG